CUGAUAGUAGGUAAUACUCCAUUUUUCUCUUAUUGGUUAUCUUUGUUAAGCUAUCACUCGACUGAUAGUAGGUAAUAUUUUGUUUAUCUCUGAUUGAUUACCUUUGUUAAGUUAUCACUUGGCUGGUAGUUGGUAAUCAUUUUGUUUCAGCUUAUUACCUUUGUUAAGUUAUCACUCGGCUGAUAGUAGGUAAUAUUUUGUUUACCUUUGAUUGGUUACCUUUGUUAAGCUAUCACUUGGCUGGUAGUUAGUAAUCAUUUUGUUUCAGCUUAUUACCUUUGU
rnacentral:lncRNA from 1 species